UUACCUCCCAGUCUCAGGGUCCAAGGAGCUCCAGCCUGGUCCUUCCUCAGCACUAUUUCCUUAAAAACCGAAUGUCCUCCUGAAUUUUUGCAUCAAGCGGGUUUGUUUGACUUCCUAUUACUGUUUUCAAUGACUCCGGAUGCGCCCGAUGAACUGACUGACACGUGGAAUAACCGUGUACACAAACACGGAGUGCCUCACGGGGAAGUGACUAAGGCAGAGGAAGGCUAACGGAUUCGCUGAACUGGGAGUCCCCUGAGGCCUCGCCAACCUCCUUGCACGGGGAUACCAAUCCCUUGAAGCCCCGCCCCGCAAGCUCGCGCGGGUUUGUCCAGAGCCAAUCAGGGCCUGACCCUUCUCGCGGGAGCUGCUGGGAUGCGCAGCCGCAUAAGAGAGCGCGCGGGUCUCCAGAGCCUGAGCUAGUCAGAAGCAACAGUUGCUACUGCGUCCCCCGGACAUUGGGAGAAUCGUUUUCCUUGGGCAGCUGGUUCCAGACCCCCACCAGUCCUCUAGACUCCAGGCCAAUCAGUUGCUAAGGGACGUUCCUCUCUCAACCUGGCACUUAUCAACAUUUUAAGCUAUAAAUUCGUCUGCAUUUCUUCAUCGUCUGUCUAUGUAGACCAUGACUCCACGGAGGCAGGGUGA
rnacentral:lncRNA from 1 species